ensembl:snoRNA small nucleolar RNA SNORD50
UGACAGUGAUGACUAUCCAAAACUGAUCUGUUGAUGAGACGGAUUAUACGGAUCUGACUACUGAGUC